UGCCUUGCACUACCCGGCCUGAGACCCGGGAGGCGGCGCCUGUUGAGUCACGGUCACGUGGCCCUGGGUGCGCAGAGGCUGACAGCGCCUCGGCGGCUAGGUCGCUCGGGGCCCUAGUGGAAAAUUUUCAGAGACCUACUGCGGCUGCGCGCCCGUGGCCCCGCCCCACCUCCCUUCCCUCUGUUCCCCGCACCGACCCCGGCCCCCAGCCUUCCGGCGGCGGCCCGAGCCGCCUCUGCAGAGGUUCCUUUCUCCCACGGGAGCAGCGCUCCGCGCGCCCCGCCCGCCUGGCGCCGCCCGCGCCUUGGCCCUCCGGCCGGCAGUCUUCGCUUCCUUCGUGCCCCACCUUGGAGCUCCGAGCCGCCGUGCGGCCUUGCCCGCGACCUUGCUUGUACCCCGCUGGCAUCCUGAAAAGCAAGGAGCGGCGUCUUGGCGCCUCCGCCUUCGCCUCAGGGGCGCCGCAGCCCCCACGGCCCCGCCACCUCCGAUCCGCGUGAUACGGGUCCCCCCACACCUUUCAGGUGGACAUGGCCCCAUCUGCCCAGGAGCUCUGAAACCACUGCAGCCAACAUGUGCCCAUGCCAGGAGGUAUCUCUGCAUGCUGAAGAUGACAGAAUGAAAAGAUGGUGACCUCUCAGUCUUUGAGGAGAUUAAAAGGCUAAGAAUUAAUUCUAGGACUGCUCUAUCUGUAGACUUUCUAUUAUAUGAGAUACAAAGUAUCAUUAUUUAAGCCACUUCUAAUUGCAUAUUGUGUUUCUUACAAUAAACAGUUUUCUGCAACUGACAA